GAUACAGCUCAGUUGGUAGAGUGUUUGCCUCACAUGCGAAAGGCCCUGGGUUCAAUUCCCAGUAUC
rnacentral:tRNA from 1 species